GGCCUGGCUCGCCCGAGGGCGGGCGGCUACGGGCCCCUGCUGCCGAACGGAGGCCGUCCGCUUCCCCCGGCCUCUCUCCGCGGGCCCUACCGCGCCGCCCGCUCCUCUCCCGGGGGUUUCAGUUGCCAGUGCCAAGAGGCAGUCAGGAAGCAGAUCGUCCUGAUUUAUGGCCAGAAGGUCAAUAGCCUAAAGCUAUCUCACAAUGCCUCUGUCAGUCACUUCUCUUCAUCUCAUCGUGUAGGCAGUAUCUCAUCUCACAUCAUCGCAGGAAGGAAAAGAAAGUCGCUAUGAUGCAGUACCCUGGUUUACUGACAGUUCAAUGAGCUUUCUGCUGUAUUGCUAGUCUGUUCACACUCUCUCCAUCACAGGUGUGAGUUUGUAAACCCCAUCCAAUCCGUGUUUCAUCUUAUGGACGAGAAAGCCGAUGAGUUUUGAACCUGGGGUAGAGAGGAGGCAAUGAGGGAUGGAGAUCCUGAACAGAGAGGACAAGGCAGUGUGAUGGCCUCUCCAUCAGUCUGUGGCCUUGUGUCCUAACCAUGCUGAUAGAGAAGAACAGAAAAUGGCCUCUGCAUGAGCCCCCUGUACCUACCCCUCCGGGCACAUACUUCUAUGGUCAGACUAUAGACACCCCAAGUGUCCUCUGUGCCCCCACAAGUGGCAUACGAGCAGUAGCCAGUAGCCUCAGUUUUAAAGGCUGGAGUGUGGCACAAUGAGGCUGGACUCAGAAGAACCAUGUUACAGUAUGACUUUGCCAUGGACCAUCCGUGUGAACCUGAGUGAGUUGCUUGAGGACACCGAGCCUGCCAGUUGGGAAUGAUAACGGCCAUAUACCUAUUUCAUGGACUGAUGUAAAAGGACAGGCGCGAAGCUUUCCAUUUAAAAGCUUUUGUAACUUGAUGUGCUCUGUAUCUGGAAAUGGCUGGAAGGAGAGUCCAGGUCACUUCCCCCUGGGGUGUGCCAGGUGGGUCUAGCAAUGGGCAACAGUGCCUGAGCUCCCUGAUGAACAUACCUCCCUUACCCCAGUAAUCUGACUUUGGGAUCUGCAACUCCAUAUUGAUUUCUUCCAGUCAAGAGUGGUGUGAGACCAGAAGCCAACCAGCUCCAACAAAGUCUUGGUGAGCUUGAAAUGAGCCAGUUUCCUCUGGAUGAGUUUCUUCUGCAGAAUCACGGAAAUGGAGGCUGCCCAGGCCAAUGAAAACCAAAUCUGUCUGCCCUGUCUUGUCAGACACCUCCACCUUCCCCACCAACUGGACACUGAAGCCCCCAACCCUCGCUAAUAUUCCACACCACCCCCCUCACUGUGGGAGCUGGCCAGCACUGGCAAAAGGGGAGCAUCAGUAAUUUUCUCCAAAGGAGCUUGUGCCUAGAGAAACCAAUAUUUAACAUCCCCAUUUACAUUGAAAGCGUGAUUCUGAUUAUGAGAUGGUAAUGAGGGGAUUAGCCAGAGAGAGCCCCCCUGCCUGCCGCCCCCUCCCAUUCUUCUCUCCUUCACCCUGCUCCUGGGCUUACUCCUGGAGGAGGAGGUGUGGGGGGAGGGUGCGGGCACUCCCACUGGGAGAGCAUCAGAGAUGCCAGAGCAGGGCAGGGGUCCUCCAAGACCCCAUCUGAGGACCCCUUAUUCAUGUCUGGAAUCAAUUAGCCUUAGAAGAGGUGAUGGGUGAGAUGAGACACCUGACUCUGAGGGCCCUUCCUUUCAUUCUUUUCCCUAGACUCUGCUGAGACCCUCUACUCUCUGGUUCUGUUCCAUAUUUCAGAUGGGGGAACUUCUUAGGUCACGCUUUCCCUCUGAGGUAGAGGAGUGAAGUACAAAAGUCUGUUGGGAGAACUUUUGCUUGGCUCCUGGCUUCUCUGACUUCAUCCCAAACCCAGCCUCCUCCCCUAAAUCCCCUGCCUCUCUGGACCAGCAUCCUUGUUGUCCUUGUCCCAGACCCUGCCUUUUAACCAGGCAGCAGUUUAUCUCUGGCUCUUCUUGUGGGGUGAGGGGUGGGGGAAGGAGAGAACCCAAGGGGGUCACCCAUCCUGAGGCCCCGUUUGUUGGUGGACAAUUGCGCUCAGACAGGAUAAUUCAGUGUGUGAUUGUGGUCACGCCCCCCCCUUUUGUGCCCCUUUCAGAGCCAAUCUCCCAGGCCCAGAUGGGUUAAUCCAUAAUGCAGACGAGCAAGUAAUUGGCUGUCAGCCCAGCCCCCUGCACCCCCUCCCCUAUUAGUGCCACUGCCCUAAUGAAGCCCAGCUUGGAGAGCCCCCUUCUCAAUGAGGCGCCAGCCCCAACCCAGCCAGGCACACAUGUGUCUCCGCUCCUCUGCCUGAAGCCUGGCUCCCUUUAGGGACCCCCAGCCCAGCCUCCCCGGGGUGACCCAGCUGUCAGGGCUGCAGCGGCCCCGGGGGGAGGCUGUGAUGGAUGGGAGGGAGUUAGUUAAUAGAGCCCAAAACACAUGGGCCCUGUCCCCACACCGACCCUCCCCCCUCACACACACACUUUUACAGCUUCCUCUGACAGCAGCCCUAGCCUUUUGAAAUAGUCCCAUAGAAUAUUUCCUCACUCCCCUCUCCAACCUAAGCGGUGCCAAAAUAGGGCCCAAAAGGGGGCCAUGAAGCUGCUUCUUUGGACACUGGCCCAAGUCAUUGCUGUUCACACUAUCCCCAACCUCUGCCAAUCUAGGUCUUCUUGUGGGUUUUGGGCAGAGAUGGCUCAUGGCAAUGUUAAAAAGGGGAACUUGGCCCUCAGUCUCCAGUGUCUCAACUGUUAUUGAAAUCAUAACGAGAGAUUUCUUUUCCUUUGAUUCUUGGAUUCCAUCUCUGUUCCUUGAUCCCAUUUCUCUUCCGAACCACUUCCUGACCAAUACUUCAGCUAGAGACAAAGCUAGGUCUGUAGCAGAUAUCCACAGAAAAGAGCUGUUCUCUUUGUUGGAGCUGCCUCAUCAUGGACUAGGCUUCCCUGCCAGCCUUUAAGCUCCCUGUCUCUGGAAGGAUUCAAGCCAAGGCUGGAUAAGGUCUGUUUGAAAUGUCAUAGAGGGACGUUUGGGGAGGAUAUUUGCAAAGGGACCUACCACUCUUGGAUUCCUUGCAUUUAUGUCCUAUUCCCUCAUCUCUGUUCGCUCCUUUCCCCCAUGAAGAGAGUGGUGGCUUUGCUGGGCCUUUUUCCAAACCAGUGGAGGAAAGUUGAGAUUGCCUGCUGCCUGGGUUGGGCUGCUCCUACAUUCAUGCCCACUGAAGCAGGGGCUUUAUGUCCUGAGGAGAGUCCUGGACCCAUAACCUCCCUGUCUUCCUUCCUCUACUUAACACUUUAAAAAUGAUAAUUUUAGGGGCACCUGGGUAGCUCAGUCAGUAGGCGUCUGACUUUGGCUCAGGUCACGAUCUCAUGGCUUGUGGGUUUGAGCCCCACAUAGGACUCUGUGCUGACAACUCAGAGCCUGGAGCCUACUUCAGAUUCUGUGUCUCCUUCUCUCUGCCCCUCCCCUGCUUGCGCUCUGUCUCUCUUUCCUUCAAAAAUAAAUAAACAUUAAUUGUUUUUUAAAAA